UUUUUCAUCCCUAGACCUCUUCGCUGUCCUCCACACCGACUCCGUACGUAAAACGACUUCUCGUUCAAGAAAGUUCCCUCCGAUUACUUCGACUGGCCCCUCGAAUUCCGGCGAGACUCCCUCAGCAUUCCCACCAUCUGACAUCUUUGCAAAAGCAUCGUCACGCGAGUUUUAAUGAUAGCUGAGGUUUUCAAAUCCGGAUCUAAUGAUUUAUUAUCUUUGAAAGUUCUCGACCGAGAAGAUAUUAAUGAUAUAUUUAUCAUCACGCAGUGAGACUUGCUAGUGAGGAGACAUCAGUAGAGCUAACCGGAUAUGAGCACAAUGCAGUGACAUGUAUUGGCAUGAUAACAGCAAUUCUGGCAAAACACUCUCUCUGUGCAAUUGUUUUGUAAGUGUUCUCAUAUCCCAUCUAUCUUCCAGCUUGAUUCGAUGGUUGAGGUUAGUCCGUGGUCAUGCAAUUGGUUUUGAUCUUUUCAUUUUUUUCUGUUUACAUCUACACAUUGGUAAUUUUCCAGCCAAGUACUUGGCUGUAGGUUAAGAAAUCUGAUAUAAUUAACAUAAUAGGUAACAGGGAUGGAGCUUCUAUCUAGAAUUAAUGGUCACUGCUCUUUUAACAAGCUCAAGUUAUGAAGCUUCUUUAUAUGAAGUCUUUUUGGCAUAACAUGCACCUGACACAUGUUCUCCAGACAGUACUUCAGGAGUGUUCUUUUCCUGCAAGAUUUAGCAACAACAUAUUGGCCCAUUAGGUUCAUUUGCCUGGGCUUGCUUAAAGCCAUGCAGCUGGUGUCUUCAAACAGGAGUCCAAUAUGUUUUGGUGGGAAAAUGGAGUGUUCUCCAUGUUUUCAGUAUGUUUUUCGAUGUAAAUCCUUCCAACCUUGGGCGCCAGCUGUUGGGUAGGUCCACUGUUUCAGUGUCAUUUCUGUCAUUUUUCUAUCCCAAUAAGUGAAGGUUAGGAUUCUUUAUGUAUGUUCUGGAAUGUAUUGUGCUGGACCAUUGUAUUGAUUGGCCGUAUCAAUCCUUUUCUGCCAGUCUGCUACAUCUGUUAAAGUGGGUUGUUUAAAGGAAUCAGCUUGCUAGCUUGAAACUGUAUCGUUGGUUUUUUAGAGGCAUGAUAGCUACCUAGACAAUGCUUGAAAUUGAAUGACGGAAAAUUCUCUCAUUUUGUUUUUAUUGUUGCUUUUUUCUUUGUGGCAAUGAAAUUAAUAGAAAUGAAAUGUAAGGAUGUUAAAUCUGUUGUUCAGAGAGCACGAAUAACAUGCAUUUUGAUAGAGAGUAAUGUUUUA